CCUGGGCGCCGCGGCCGCCGCCCCCAGCACAGCACGGCCCGGCCCGGCCCGGCCUGGCCUGCCGUAAGCGCGGGACCUUCAUGCGCUUCCCCUGCCCCGCACGCACGGGGGGCGCGCGCCUGCCCCGGAACAGGACUGCCACUGUUGAGUCUGUGGGAGUAUGAAUCAGCAGCAGCAGAGAAUGGCUGCAGUUGGGACAGACAAAGAGCUCAGUGACCUGCUGGACUUCAGUAUGAUGUUUCCUCUGCCAGUGGCUAAUGGAAAAAACAGACCCACGACCCUAGCAAGCACUCAGUUUGGAGGAUCAGGUUUGGAUGAAAGACCGGGAUCAGGUUCCUGGGGAACGGGAGAUCAAAACAGCUCCACAUUUGACCAAGGAAGGCAGAGCUAUGGUGAAGGCCCCCACUAUGGCGAGCACAGGGACCUGCCGCCUCACAGCAGCAUAUCUUCAUCACCAUUCCUGGGAGCUGGACUCGUGGGGAAGAGCAGUGAAAGAAGCUCGUACUCCACGUUUGGAAGAGACACAGGGAUGCCAGGACUAAACCAGGCCGGUUUCCUGCCCAGCGAGAUGGGAAUCGCCAGUCCCAGCACGCUCUCCCCCACCGGGGUCAAAGGGGGCUCUCAGUAUUUUUCUUACCCCAACAAUCCUCGCAGGAGAGGUGCUGACAGCAGCAUAGAUGGACAGCCCAAAAAGGUUCGGAAGGUGCCUCCUGGACUCCCUUCCUCGGUGUAUCCAUCGAACUCAGGUGAUGACUACAGCAGGGAUACAGCUGGAUAUACUCCCUCGAAACCUCCCAGCACUGUGUAUCCCGGAGCCUUUUAUAUGGCAGACGGGCUCCAUAACUCAGCAGACCUGUGGAGCUCUCCGGGUGCAAUGAGCCAGUCGAGUUACGGUGCCAUGCUGGGCAGCUCCUCCUCCCCACUCCCACCAGCCAGCGGCUUCAACAGUUUACACCAGCACGAGCGCAUGAACUACCAGCUUCAUUCAGGAGAGGUUAAUGGUGGGCUCCCCUCUGUGUCUGGCUUCUCCUCUGCCUCCACGCCAUACGGUGUCUCCAGUCACACGCCUCCCAUCAGUGGCACGGACAGCAUGAUGGGUAACAGAGGAACCACAGCUGGGAGCUCAGGAGAUGCGCUCGGGAAGGCACUAGCUUCAAUUUACUCCCCGGAUCACUCUAGCAAUAACUUCUCCUCAAACCCCUCCACACCGGUCGGCUCCCCUCAGGGCCUUGCAGGCACAUCUCAGUGGUCACGAGCAAGCGGACAGGGUGCCUUAUCUCCCAGCUACGAAGGGAGCCUCCACACUUUACAAAACAAAAUGGAAGACAGGUUGGAUGAAGCCAUCCACGUGCUGAGGAAUCACGCUGUGGGCCAGACAGCCACCAUGCCAAGCAACCAUGGGGACAUGCACGGGCUACUGGGCUCAGCACCAGCCCACAGUGCCACCGUGGGCAGCCUGAGCCAGGCCUUCCCGGCCUCAGUCAUGGCUCUGGGGAACAGGCACCCAAAUCUGGUGGGAGGAGGUCACCCCGAAGAUGGGUUGUCCAGCAACCCCAACCUGCUCCACAACCACGUUACGCUUCCAUCACAACCCAGCUCCCUCCCUGACCUCAACAGGCAGCAGGAUACGUACAGUGCAGGCUUGUCAGGGGGGCUGGGGCGAAGCAGUGUCUCCUCGGGAACCAGCGAAAUAAAGAGGGAAGAGAAGGAGGAUGAGGAGAACACGUCGGUGGCAGAUAACUCGGAAGAGGAGAAGAAGGAGCUGAAACCCUCCAGGAACAGAACAAGUCAAGAUGAGGAUGAGGAGGACGAUCUUCUUCCCCCAGAGCAAAAAGCCGAGAGAGAGAGAGAAAGGAGGGUCGCCAAUAAUGCCCGUGAGCGCCUGCGGGUCCGGGACAUCAACGAGGCCUUUAAAGAGCUCGGACGCAUGUGCCAACUCCACCUAAACAGCGAAAAACCGCAGACCAAACUGCUAAUCCUCCACCAGGCCGUAUCAGUCAUACUGAACCUGGAGCAACAAGUUAGAGCAGUACAGACGAGGCCUUGUCACUGGAGGACAAAGAUCUGAGGGACCGGGAGAGGAGAAUGGCCAAUAACGCCAGGGAAAGGGUGCGUGUGCGGGACAUUAACGAGGCCUUUAAGGAACUGGGACGCAUGUGUCAGAUGCACUUAAAAACGGACAAAGCACAGACCAAACUGAUCAUCCUACAGCAAGCGGUGCAGGUCAUUCUGGGCCUGGAGCAGCAAGUACGAGAGCGCAAUCUGAACCCUAAAGCAGCCUGCUUGAAGCGUCGGGAAGAAGAGAAAGUGUCCGGAGUAGUAGGAGAUCCCCAGAUGACACUUUCAGCUUCACAUCCUGGUCUAGGAGAUGGUCACAACCCUGUUGGACACAUGUAAAGAUCUGUUUCUUCUUCUGGAUCCAGAGAUCUGUAGGAAGAAAACCCUCGGGGGGACCUGCAACCUUCUCGACCCAUAAACUUUAGUCCUGCUAACACUGACACACGUGGACGGAUCCUGGCGUGACGUAAGGGGUGGAAAACACCCACCUUGUCAAAAGCAAACAAAACAAAAAUUGCCUUAAGUAUAAAGUGCAGACCAGUCAAUACAUAUCACUCAGUUAGGAGGGGGUGGCGUGGUCUCUUGGCUUGUUCGCAAGCAGCCAGCAGCAAACUUGUGCCUAAGCUUGAUAUUUCUUUUUUAAAAUGAAAAAAAAGAACAUUAGUUAUGAGAUUUUUUUUGUAUGUAGAACAAAUAGCGAUGCCUUUGGGUUGGUUUUUUUGGGUUUUUUUAGCUUCUUUUGCAUAUGUUUUGUAAGCAACGAAAAUAAUUCUUUUUUUUUGUAUAAAAAAACAAAAAAAGUCUUGUACCCCACAUGCUUUUCUGCUGCUGUUUCUAUAGUUAAUGUUGCAUCUUUAGAAUCAACCAGAAUAGUAAAAUUGUAUUAAGAGAGACUGGAUAUAAAGAGAGGAAUUCUCACAUUCGGCUCUGCAAGCCACUAAAAGCGAAUGUAGCCACAGCAAGGGGAUGUUCGUCCUUGCUUGGCUUGGACCUUCCAUUAGACAGAAACAAACUCAUGGGCUGAAGUCUCUUUGCUUUUGGCCACUUCUGAGAUGGGAGAAGGAAGUUAAACAGCAAAGCCGGUUGCAGCAGCAUCCCUCAGCCGUGCUCCUGCUCCUUCUGGGAGGUGACCAAGGGCCAUUGAGGGUCUCUGCAAGAUUUGCUUUCCUCCUGGAGCAUCCCGGAGGCUGCAAUCCCACCCGGGAGAGGAGGUGCCCCACAGCCCACCCAGGACAUCGUGAGGGAGCAGGCCUGUGGAAGAGAACCAAGAGAAUGGGAUGCUUCCAAGGUAAGCAAAGAAGCAACACAGAGGCAAGAGGAAAGCCGUGGCCGGAGGGAAGCGCUCCUUGCCCCUGCAUCGAAGCAAACGCCUGCUCCAAGAGGUGCUUCCUGGGGCAGUGCAAAGCAAAGAUGAACUGAACAGAGCUGGAGAACUGGGAAGAGGCCAAGGUGGAUGGAGCGAAGGCAGCAGCAGGACACGGUGCCAGCAGCCUUGCAGCAGCCGGAGCUGUGGAUGCUGGCAGCAGGCAGGGGAGCAGCGACCUGGCUGUGCGCUCACUCCAGCCCUCAGCAAGCCAGGACCAGCAGCAGGAUCCGCUGCAGUGUCUCCCCUCACUGGAGCCACCUCAUCAGAGGGGCAGAACACUGCAGGCUUGUGGUGAGGGGUGGUUUCAUACCCCACUUUCCCCACUGUUGUAUCUCCAGUCCAGUCCAACUGGAGGCAGCCUCAGCUCAGCAUGCUGCCUGGUUUGCCGUAGGGAUGCAAAGUGGGGUCCUCAUUCUGUGCUGGAAAGGAGGGGAACAUGCUCCAGCAGCCAAGCCAACGAUUCCUUCACUCCAAGGGCUUCCCAGUGUCACUUCUGACCACUCCAGUGUGCUCAGCAGGAGGAAGACCCUUAGUGUGCCUGGCGGUGCAGGAGCAAAUGAAGAGAUGCUCAGUGGUACUGAGCUGUUGGUAGCCAUUCUGGAGUUGGCAAUGGAAAAGCAUCCAAUGGAAAUUUAUUCUUGGUUCUUCCCUCUCCUUCCCCUUCUGAAGCAUUUUGUGCCCAGUUCUUUCCAGCUCUGCAGAUGGACAGGGUUAACUCCGGGGGGAACAUGUUAAUUCCCAUCUCAGAGGUGGCCCACGACAUGUCAGGGGGGCAUGGGAACAGCAAGACCUGCAGCAGCAGGGCCCAUCUCUCCCCUCUGCCUCUCUGGCUUGUGCUCCUGGGAAAGCUGUAUUGCAUUGGCACAGGGAAAGAUUAGGACUGGCACACAAGAUGAAGUCCUACAGCACUUUCCAGUAAUCCCAGGCUUUGGUGUAACCUCCUGGUUAUACCUCCUCUGUGCUCAUUGCUAUGCUUUGUGCUCCAGCAAAACCUGCCAGAAGUGCUCAGGACAUUGAUCAUCUCCCACCUACACCUGGGCUCAGCCUCUGUAGCAUCCCUCCACAUGCUGCCCCUGGCACUGCAGUGUCCACCCUAGCUCUGAGGCUUCCAGGUGCUCCUGGCUUUCCCAGCCUACAGCCUGCUGCUCCCACCAUUGCUUCUGUGUGGUGAGACCUGAGACCACAGCAGCCUCCAGCUCCAGGAAGGCUGGGAGGGUCAGUGGCUGUGGUCCCUGCAGCCCAGGACCCUGCGUUCUUCUCACCUGUGUCAACAGAUGUGCUUCAGCCUAAUGAACUCAUCAGGUUACAACACUCUUCCCUCCCUUGGGUCCUUCUGCCUGCUGAAGCAGUGGGCAGUGUGAGGUGGAUGAGGUUUUCUUCCAUGGCUGACAGCAUUCCCCUAUGGAGCAGGUCCCUUGCAGUACCAGCCAUGUCUUCCUGAAGCAUCCUGCCAUGUUGGGUUGAAGCAAGUAAAACGUGCAGGGGGGAGACAGUGUCCCUCUGCAGCCAGGUCUGGAUGCUCAGACAACCCCCAUUCAUGCCCUGGGCUAGGAACUGGAGACUCACUGGCUGCUCUCUGCUUCAUCCCAUUGCCCUUUCGUAAGGAUGGUGCUGAGGCCAUUGGCAUGCUCUGCUCAGGAUGUUCUGCUGCUUCAGUGCCACUGCUCCAGGACCAGGGAGGGAUGGAGCAAUGUCCCAGCCCUGGCAAGCUUGAAACUAUACAAAAGCAAAAGAAGUGCUUCCCCAACACUUGGGCUUUGCAACAAGAGUUUGAGGUGAUGGUCAUGUCAUGUACAGCUGCAUUGGAGAGCGGCUGUAGGCAAGAAAAACCUGGAAACUCAACACAAUUGGAAAUAUGAGAAGAUUGAUGAUUUGUUCAACUCCUUCCUCCUGGCUGAUGCUCUGCAAACCUGGGGGGCUCCUGAUGAGACAGCCUUUCCCACCAUCCCUGCACCAUCAGGCACUGCAAGAGCUGGGGCUUUUCAUUUAGGUGGUUUAGAUGCUGUUUCCUUGACAGCAAAAGCAGCUUUAGGUCCUCAAACAGAAACCCUCCUCAGUGCCAGGGUUUGGAGGAGAUCUUGAUUGCUCCAGCAGGGACUGGUAAUGCCCAGAAGCUGCCUCAGUGGCAUCUCUGCUCUUCAGGUGCCCAGGGAGCAACUGUGGAAUGCAGCAAGGAAAAACUCCUUUGGCUUGCCAGUGGGUUUGGCUCAGUGUGAAUGUGGGGCCUGUUGUGAUGAUGGGGAAUGUGGCUUCUCUGACAGUGAGCACUGUUGGGUGCUGUCCUCAAAAUGCCACCAGGCCAGCCCUGAAAUACCAGCCUGUUGAAAGGAGGCUCUCAUCUUUAGGUGUCAUGGGCAGAGCGGGCCAGGGUCUGUGCCAUCUACAGAUCACUUUUGUCCCUAUCCCUGCUUCUCUGCCUGUCUGCAUGUCCCUCACAAGGGGAGGUGACAGGCUGCAGAGCAGCAUUUACUGUUCUGCUUCCUCUCUCAGCCUUACCUGCAUGAGUUCUCCUGGGCUCUGUGCCCCUCAUCAAUGGGGGCCACAAACCACACACACACCCCAAGGCUUCCUUCCUCAGGGAGGAAAUCAGACAGCACAACUGGGGUCCUGGGGGUACAGCUUCCAUGGAAAGCUGCUUGUGUGGCACCUACCCUUGGUUUGGCCUGUGACCCACCAGUCAAAGCAUCUGGCCUGGCUUGAGUGGAGCUCCAGCUCUUUACCCCUCUCUGCUCCCUGCUUUUCCAGCUUGCACUAGGUAUCCUACAGAGAGGUGUGUUGGCAGGAGGGACAGGACCUGGGGACAUCCGGAUCCUGCUCUGUGCCACUCUAGGUUUGCACUGAGAACAAGAGCAGUGCCUGGGCUGAUGGUUUGCAUGCAUUCAUCCUGCAUCUGGCUGUCAGUAGCAGGUCCAUGCCAGCCCCAGGCAGUGGUGUCAACUUGCUGCCCCUUCCCUGUGCACCAUCCCUGCAGGGCCAGGGGGCUGGAUGCUUUGCAGUCAGGGGGUUUUACCCUCUCCAGUAGAGAAAUGCAGACGUGUGAUGUGAAACAUCCCCAGGGGUGAGUUCAGGGAAGGGGUUUUUCCCUCAGCCCUGUGUCAGUGCUGAGCUGGGUUCCUGGAGGCUUGGCACCCCCUGCCUGGGAGUGAUUGAACAGGGAGGAAAGAGGCAGGCUGGCAUUCCCCCAGGGGUCUGCAGUUCCAGGUUCAGUGCAGAAGCUGCUUGCAAAGGUCCUCUGUGUCUCACACAUGAACCCACUGAAGCCAGCAGAACCCUGGGCUCUUGCUGUGCCAUUCAGCACAUCCUGCCCCUUGGCAGGUGGGAAGGGGCCUUUGGAAAACCCCAAUCCCCUGCACCCCUCAGCCUUGCUGCCAUGGGGAGCCCUUGCAGGCCCUGCUGGGUGCUGUGCUGGUGACUGUGGCUUGGGGUGUCAGAACAGAGCUGAAAACGGGGAGGUGAAGCAAAGCUGGUACUGGAGUUGGGCCAGGAUGAGCCUCAGCCCCCAGGGUGCAGUGCUGGCUCACCUGAAGCAAGCCUGGCCACUGGAUUCCCCUGUUCUGCUCAACACCAGCAAUAGCAAGACCUGUUUUCUGUACCAUAGGCUUGCACAAGGUCUUUGCCCUGUUAUAUCCUAUGCAACUCCCUCUCCUCUCCCCUGGGGCUCUCCAGAUCCCAUCCCAGCCCCUUCUUUCUGCUCUUGUCCAUGACUGCUGCGUUCCUGCUCCCUGCUGCUCUUUGGGUCCAGCUUCAUUUCUAGCAGCUCCAAAAGCAUUUCAAGGCCUGUGCCCUGGAGCUGGAAGGGGGUAAAGAAGGGGUGAGACCAUAGGAACAUCCCUUCCAACUUAUGCUGCGGGAGCUCAGCACUGAAUUGGAGAGGGCAAGGCCUGGUCCUAGGGCUCCUCCAUGCACCCUUCACCCUCCUGUGCCUUCUGCUCAAUACUUGGUGGCUCAGUGCCAGCAUCCUUCAUCUCCCACCAUCUCCCCCAGUACCCCUUGAAUGGAGAAGCUGUGUCCCACCCUGUUACUGCCCAGCUCUACAGACUGCUCUGGGAAUGCCUGAGCCUUGGGCUUGGCUUGGCUGGUCUUCCUUCAGCCUCCCCAAGCCUGAAGGUGUGCUUUCCUUCCUCCUAUGCAUCCCAGUGGCUGCAGCCAGCACCUCCAAGCUGUUUCCCUUCAUGCACAGGCACCGUGGGUUCCUUCACAGUGAGGCAGGACCAUGCCACCACCUGGGGCAGCAGCUUGAGGAUUCAGGAGGUGGAUGCUGUGGGUCGCUCCCAUGGCGUGGCUGCGUCUCCUUGGCCUUGGGGCUGGUGUGGGGGGACCCGGUGCUCUGCUCAGAGGUUUGAUCUUCAACUCACCCCUCCUGGAGGAUCAGCACUGCAGUGCCUUUGCCUGUGGGACUCCUGCAUGAGCCGAGCAUGGAGGGGGGGCUCUGGUGAGGACAGUGCAGGCUGCAGGUGUCCUUUCUGCCAAACCUUGUGUGUGCCUCUUGCCCCCAUCCCCUGGGGAUGCAAGAGGCAGCCCCUGCCGUGCAUCUCCAGGCUGGGGUUUCUGUUCCUCUGCUUUUGUACACCUUGGGUCUUGCAGGACCCACCAUGGGCCAGCCAAGCACCCACCAAGCUAGAAGGAGAGGGAAUAAAACCCCCUCCCUGUCCCAUCUUGGUACAGUGCAGGAGAGCAAAGGGCUUUGUGCCUCAGCAUGGGGCGUCCCGGACCCCGAGGCCUUUCGCUGAAGAGCAUCCCCAGGCUGUGCCCAUGGGAGCUGUGGAUCUCCCCAUGGCAGCGAGCUGGGGACACCACGGGUCCCCCUUCCCGGUGCUACGUCUUCCCAAAUCACUUGAAACCCACCAGCCUUUGAGCCCAGCCACGUGCCUGGACCGGGCAGGAAAUUACCCCUUAGCUCUGGAGGGCUCAGUGGGGAAACGGAAGUGUUCCUGGGUUGCUCUUUCAUUCUAUUUUUGUAGGACAGGGGAUGGGAGAUCCCUGCAGAAGUCGUUUAUUAUUCACCCCAUAGAGAGUUUUGGGGUGGUUUUGAGGGGUUUUUACCCUUCAAAACCACCCAAAACUGGUCCUUGCUUUUGAUGUUUAUGCUGCCUACCUGUAAAUCCAGAUGUACUUAAGUGGCUGAAAUCCUUGUCCUUAAAUCAGAUACACAUUAUAGUUUUGAACUAUAUAUAUAGUAAAUAUAUAUAUAUAUAUGCCUAACCCAGCAAAAAAAAAUUAAAGGAAAAAAAAAGGGUCUUUGGGGGUGGGAAAAUGUCCUUCGAAAUGAAUCACAAUUGGGGGAUAAAAUUGUGUUUCUGAGUGCCUCAAGAUAUGAAUUGUUUUCAUUUUUUUAAAUAAUUUUAUACAAGUGUCCAAACAGCUGGCUGGAUUAUUGGGAAUUUUGAAAUAAUCCUAACUUUUUUAAAGUAGACUUGGAGAACUGUCCUGUAUAUAACAGUAAUGUAGCAAUAAAUGUGACCUUUUAUAACAAUA